GGGCGCGUAGCUCAGUUUGGAUAGAGCAUCAAGCUUUGGCGUGUAAGCCUUCUAAGCUGAGGGCCGCGGGUUCGAAUCCCGUCGCGCCCA
rnacentral:tRNA from 1 species